AAGCUCGUAGUUGAAUUUCGGGAUCAAUGGGUUGGUCAUGCCGAUGGUGUGUACUGGUCAUAUUGGUUCUCACCUUCUAAGGAACCAUAAUGUCAUUUAUUUGAUGUUGUGGGGAAUUAGGACUGUUACCUUGAAAAAAUUAGAGUGUUUAAAGCAGGCUAACGCUUGAAUACAUUAGCAUGGAAUAAUGAAAUAGGACAUCGCAUUCUAUUUUGUUGGUUUCUAGGAUCGAUGUAAUGAUUAAUAGGGAUAGUUGGGGCAUUAGUAUUCAAUUGUCAGAGGUGAAAUUCUUGGAUUUAUUGAAGACUAACUACUGCGAAAGCAUUUGCCAAGGAUGUUUUCAUUAAUCAAGAACGAAAGUUAGGGGAUCGAAGACGAUCAGAUACCGUCGUAGUCUUAACCAUAAACUAUGCCGACUAGGGAUCGGAUGAUGUUGAUUUUUUAAUGACUCAUUCGGCACCUUACGGGAAACCAAAGUGUUUGGGUUCCGGGGGGAGUAUGGNCGCANGGCNGAAACUUAAAGGAAUUGACGGAAGGGCACCACCAGGGGUGGAGCCUGCGNNAUAAUUU
rnacentral:rRNA from 1 species